rnacentral:rRNA from 1 species
GUGUCAGCAGCCGCGGUAAAACGUAGGACGCAAGCGUUAUCCGGAGUUACUGGGCGUAAAGCGCGUGUAGGCGGCUUGCCAAGUCAGGCGUGAAAGCGCCCGGCUCAACCGGGCGAGGUCGUUUGAGACUGGCAGGCUGGAGGACGGCACAGGAGCAGGGAAUUCCGGGUGUAGUGGUGAAAUGCGCAGAGAUCCGGAGGAACACCAGUGGCGAAGGCGCUGCUCUGGGCCGACACUGACGCUGAGACGCGAAAGCAUGGGGAGCGAACGGGAUUAGAAACCCCCGUAGUCC